rnacentral:rRNA from 1 species
GAACGGAUGCUUUGAGCAAUCGGAGCAUUAGUGGCAGACGGGUGCGUAACACGUGGGCGACCUACCUCAAAGUGGGGAACGACAGACCGAAAGGUUUGCUGAUACCGCAUGUGCUCGGUUCUUCAUUGAGCCGAACAAAGCCGAAAGGCGCUUUGAGAGGGGCCCGCGGCCCAUCAGGUAGUUGGUGAGGUAACGGCCCACCAAGCCGAUGACGGGUAGCUGUUCUGAGAGGAAGAUCAGCCACACUGGCACUGAGAUACGGGCCAGACUCCUACGGGAGGCAGCAGUGAGGAAUAUUGCGCAAUGGACGAAAGUCUGACGCAGCGACGCCGCGUGGGCGACGAAGGCCUUCGGGUCGUAAAGCCCUUUUAGCAGGGAAGAGUGAGGACGGUACCUGCUGAGUCUCGGCUAACUACGUGCCAGCAGCCCGCGGUAAAACCUA